rnacentral:rRNA from 1 species
UACGUAGGGGGCGAGCGUUGUCCGGAGUUAUUGGGCGUAAAGAGCUCGUAGGCGGCCUGUUGCGUCUGCUGUGAAAUCCCGGGGCUUAACCCCGGGCGUGCAGUGGAUACGGGCAGGCUGGAGGCAGGCAGGGGAGAACAGAAUUCCCGGUGUAGCGGUGAAAUGCGCAGAUAUCGGGAGGAACACCGGUGGCGAAGGCGGUUCUCUGGGCCUGUACUGACGCUGAGGAGCGAAAGCGUGGGGAGCGAACAGG